rnacentral:rRNA from 1 species
AUUGAACGCUGGCGGCAUGCCUUACACAUGCAAGUCGAACGGCAGCACGGGUGCUUGCACCUGGUGGCGAGUGGCGAACGGGUGAGUAAUACAUCGGAACGUACCUUAUCGUGGGGGAUAACGCAGCGAAAGUUGCGCUAAUACCGCAUACGCCCUGAGGGGGAAAGCGGGGGACCGUAAGGCCUCGCGCGAUUAGAGCGGCCGAUGUCUGAUUAGCUUGUUGGGGAGGUAAAAAGUCACCAAGGCGAUGAUCAGUAGCUGGUCUGAGAGGACGAGCAGCCACACUGGGACUGAGACACGGCCCAGACUCCUACGGGAGGCAGCAGUGGGGAAUUUUGGACAAUGGGGGCAACCCUGAUCCAGCAAUGCCGCGUGAGUGAAGAAGGCCUUCGGGUUGUAAAGCUCUUUUGUCAGGGAAGAAACAGCAGCUCUAACACAGUCUGCGAAUGACGGUACCUGAAGAAUAAGCACCGGCUAACUACGUGCCAGCAGCCGCCGUAA